CCACUUUGAUGAGAAAGCUUGGAGCUCCACCCCGCUCCUUUUACAUGUGCUGUGGAGAGACGCCGUAUGGCUCGGCACAGCGUGGAGUUCUCUGUUGUAAUAACAUCUUGUACGAGAACAGAGAUGAUGGAGAGGAAUGUUCAGAGACUGGUAUUCCUUACAACCUGGCUAAAGGGACUAUAUGCUGCUCUCAGUUUCACGGCAGCCCGGGAAAACACUGCUGUGGGACAGAAAUUUACCAUCCUGAUGCUGAGAUCUGCUGCAACGGACACAGACAUUCCAAAUCGAAAAAUAUUCACUGCUGUGGGAUUAAAGCCUACAACAUUAAAGACCCACAGAUGAAGUGCUGUGCAGGAACACUGUACAAUCUGACACUGUUAGAUGAGCAUGGACAGGAUGCACAGUGUUGCGGAUCCCUUCUGCAAAAGCAACAGGACAUUUGCUGCUCAAGUGAGGACAGAGAAGUGCUAUACUCUGCUAGGACAGGAUUCAGAUGCUGUGGUCACCUCUACUUCAACACCACCCUGUGGUCAUGCUGUGCCGAGCGGCUGAGAUCAAUCCAUGAACCAGGACAAGAUCAGAGGAAGAUGAGUAAUGAAUCCAGACUUCAAUCAGUGAAUAAUAUGAACAAAACUGAUCUUUGCAAAAAAAUGCGCAUCGGGACGGUGGAAAGUGUCUCUCUGCAUAGCAUUGUGUUCAAGAGCGUGCUGAAGAUCCGUGGGAAGAAGGCCAAAGUGAAAGCGUUGCCUUUCCCUUAUAUCUUGAAAACAGAUGAUCGCUGCAGCUCACCCAAACUGAUUCCUGGGAAGACCUACUUCUUUAACAAAGUUAAUGUUUUCACCGAUUCCAACCAUGACACUGUUCUUCAGUCACUCCACUUCAUUUUUUCCAAGUGUUCACCUUAGAUCACCAGUCGCUGAUGGAUACAUAUUACUUCUUACUCACACACCGAUUUACAUUUUUUCAUAACAGCUACUACAGAGAUGCGUUGUCACAUAACGGUCUGUUACCUCUAAAACAAUCAACCUUAAAGGUACUCAUCCUCAUAAAAAAAUUUCAACCUGACGUUUUACCAGCGAUACCAGUGGCAAAGUUGGUGAAAACCAACCCAAAGAGAUCUUUUCAGUUCAUCAUUGCUUUUCUUACUCAUUCAGACUCAAAAUUUGACCUGUUUGCUUCGAUUAGCAUGCACUCACCUUGAACAUUGCUCUGGAUCCCACAGAUCUUCAUGAGCUUUACUGAUCUUUAUGUUACUUUUUCAGAUUUUUGAAUAGGUUUGAGUUUGCAUUUGCAGCAGUGUUGCACUGCCAAAAAUUUUAGGCCAGUCACUUUUUUUUUCUACAAGAUGAGAUCAGUUAUUGUUGCACAAAUAACAGUUGGAGUUUUUUUGUUUGUUUAUUUUAAAAUUUUCUAUUAUACAGAUUAUGUAACUUGAGUAAAAACAAAAACACAGCUGGUUUGCUAGUAGCAGGCAACCAUUUACCUUAUUUAGAGACAAUGAUGCACAAUAUUACUGCAAUACAGACAAAUGUGAUGCGAGUAUACAAUGCAUUACUUUUUAUAUCACACCCACACUGCUUACUUAUUUCAUUAAGAAAAUCGCAUUGUGUUUCCAAAACAGCAGUAUCAGUUACUAGUGAUAUUACUUAUACAUUGUUAUCAAUAUAUUAUACAUUGUUUUUCAAAUAUUGUUUCACUUGUUACAUUACUCUGCUUGUAUUCAGCCAAACCAUGUUCCUCUUUGGUUUAAGAUGCCCCCAAAAGUCUCAUCACUGUGAGACUUUAUGUAAAGAUGUUUGAAAUGAGUAAGAACAAUGUACUUCAAAGUGUAAUAUUUACUGAACUUCAUAUUGUAGUCAGUCACACAACUUAAAGUAAUAACUGAGUGUAACACAGCCAAUUGGUACACAGUGUUGUUCAAAUCUAAAUCUGUAAUAUAUGCAAUAAUAGAAUAUGAUCACCAACUGCCAGUCUGAAACAAAAAGAAAAAGCUAAAGAAGCAAACAGUAUAUCAAAGCUUGUGCGAGUCUGGGAUCAGCAGUAACUGAUACCUUAGCAGUCAUUAUAGCAGGUAGCACACAAGAAUAGCAUACAGCUCUGUGCUCAAGCUACGCUGCUAUUAGCUAAUAUGGUCUUUAAAUAUUGGGGAUUAUUAUUUUUAUGCUAUUCUGAUUCUUGCACUAAACUAAAUUAUAAAUGGCGACUGUUUGCACAUCAUUAACCCAUAUAGUUGAAUUUAUACAUGUUCUAUUAAUGGCAUUCUCUUAUUUUUAUUCAUUAAGCUACUAGAUGUACUCAACUUGGCAUUUAUCGUGAAAUAUGCUUUAAGGACCCAAAAGACCACCCAGAGGUCACAUUUAAAUGUCUUGGGUUUGUUUACUUGUAACUACUCAUUUUUGUUCUCCUUGGUUUAAGCUACAUUUUUUUAUUCGGAAUAUGUUUGGCAUUUAUUUCACUGUAUGUUUCUUCACAAUAUAUAAGACACACCUUUAACCCAGAGAAACCCUGGAAAUGUUGAAGGCACGCAAUUUUAUAUUUUGCAUGUUUUAGUGAAAUUGUAGGAAGUACUGUCUUUUUAAGGAUAAAGCUUUGAAUAAAUAAAUAUAACAG
ensembl:lncRNA